UGUGUAGGCGGUUCUCUAAGUUCCGUGUGAAAUCUCCCGGCUUAACUGGGAGGGUGCGCGGAAAACUGGAGGGCUCGAGUAUGGGAGAGGAAAGCGGAAUUCCUGGUGUAGCGGUGAAAUGCGUAGAUAUCAGGAGGAACACCUGCGGUGUAGACAGCUUUCUGGACCAUCACUGACGCUGAGACACGAAAGCGUGGGUAGCAAACAGGAUUAGAUACCCUGGUAGUCCACGCCCUAAACGAUGCAUACUUGGUGUGAGCCGUUCAUUCGGUUCGUGCCGGAGCUAACGCGUUAAGUAUGCCGCCUGGGGAGUACGGUCGCAAGGCUGAA
rnacentral:rRNA from 1 species